rnacentral:rRNA from 1 species
UACGAGGGGUGCAAGCGUUGCUCGGAAUUAUUGGGCGUAAAGGGUAGGUAGGUGGUCUCAUUUGUCUAGGGUGAAAGCCUUGAGCUUAACUCAAGAAGUGCCCUAGAAACGGUGAGACUGGAGUCUUGGAGAGGGUCGUGGAAUUCCCGGUGUAGCGGUGAAAUGCGUAGAGAUCGGGAGGAACACCGGUGGCGAAGGCGGUUCUCUGGGCCUUACCUGACGCUGAGGAGCGAAAGCGUGGGGAGCGAACAGG